CCUACGGGGGGCAGCAGUGGGGAAUAUUGCGCAAUGGGCGAAAGCCUGACGCAGCGACGCCGCGUGAGGGAUGAAGGUCUUCGGAUCGUAAACCUCUGUCAGCAGGGAAGAACGGUCACUGUGCUAAUCAGCAGUGAAUUGACGGUACCUGCAAAGGAAGCACCGGCUAACUCCGUGCCAGCAGCCGCGGUAAUACGGAGGGUGCGAGCGUUAAUCGGAAUUACUGGGCGUAAAGCGCUCGUAGGCGGUAUGUCAAGUCAAGGGGGAAAUCCCCGCGCUCAACGUGGGAACUGCCUUUGAAACUGGCAAACUGGAGUGUGUGAGAGGAUAGUGGAAUUCCAGGUGUAGGAGUGAAAUCCGUAGAUAUCUGGAGGAACAUCAGUGGCGAAGGCGACUAUCUGGCACAUAACUGACGCUGAGGCACGAAAGCGUGGGGAGCGGACAGGAUUAGAUACCCUGGUAGUC
rnacentral:rRNA from 1 species